GGUUGUGGCUCAGUUGUAAAGUGCUUGCCUAACACACACAAGGUACUGGGUUCUAUCCCCAGCACUA
rnacentral:tRNA from 1 species